CGCGUUGAGAGGCAGCUACCAUGCAGUCGAGCGGUAGCACAGAGAGCUUGCUCUCGGGUGACGAGCGGCGGACGGGUGAGUAAUGUCUGGGAAACUGCCUGAUGGAGGGGGAUAACUACUGGAAACGGUAGCUAAUACCGCAUAACGUCGCAAGACCAAAGAGGGGGACCUUCGGGCCUCUUGCCAUCAGAUGUGCCCAGAUGGGAUUAGCUAGUAGGUGGGGUAACGGCUCACCUAGGCGACGAUCCCUAGCUGGUCUGAGAGGAUGACCAGCCACACUGGAACUGAGACACGGUCCAGACUCCUACGGGAGGCAGCAGUGGGGAAUAUUGCACAAUGGGCGCAAGCCUGAUGCAGCCAUGCCGCGUGUAUGAAGAAGGCCUUCGGGUUGUAAAGUACUUUCAGCGGGGAGGAAGGUGUUGAGGUUAAUAACCUCAGCAAUUGACGUUACCCGCAGAAGAAGCACCGGCUAACUCCGUGCCAGCAGCCGCGGUAAUACGGAGGGUGCAAGCGUUAAUCGGAAUUACUGGGCGUAAAGCGCACGCAGGCGGUCUGUCAAGUCGGAUGUGAAAUCCCCGGGCUCAACCUGGGAACUGCAUUCGAAACUGGCAGGCUAGAGUCUUGUAGAGGGGGGUAGAAUUCCAGGUGUAGCGGUGAAAUGCGUAGAGAUCUGGAGGAAUACCGGUGGCGAAGGCGGCCCCCUGGACAAAGACUGACGCUCAGGUGCGAAAGCGUGGGGAGCAAACAGGAUUAGAUACCCUGGUAGUCCACGCCGUAAACGAUGUCGACUUGGAGGUUGUGCCCUUGAGGCGUGGCUUCCGGAGCUAACGCGUUAAGUCGACCGCCUGGGGAGUACGGCCGCAAGGUUAAAACUCAAAUGAAUUGACGGGGGCCCGCACAAGCGGUGGAGCAUGUGGUUUAAUUCGAUGCAACGCGAAGAACCUUACCUACUCUUGACAUCCAGAGAACUUAGCAGAGAUGCAUUGGUGCCUUCGGGAACUCUGAGACAGGUGCUGCAUGGCUGUCGUCAGCUCGUGUUGUGAAAUGUUGGGUUAAGUCCCGCAACGAGCGCAACCCUUAUCCUUUGUUGCCAGCGGUCCGGCCGGGAACUCAAGGAAGACUGCCCAGU
rnacentral:rRNA from 1 species